UACGUAGGUGGCGAGCGUUGUCCGGAUUUACUGGGCGUAACGAGCGCGCAGGCGGUCGUACAAGUCGCGUGUGAAAGCCCCCGGCUCAACUGGGGAGGGUCACGCGAUACUGUUCGACUCGAAGGCAGGAGAGGGAAGUGGAAUUCCCGGUGUAGUGGUGAAAUGCGUAGAUAUCGGGAGGAACACCAGUGGCGAAGGCGACUUCCUGGCCUGUUCUUGACGCUGAGGCGCGAAAGCUAGGGUAGCAAACGGG
rnacentral:rRNA from 1 species